UUACUACUCCCUUCAUUCUAAAGUUUUUGUCUUAAAUUUGUCUAAAUAUGAAUAUAUCAAGUCACGUUUUAGUAUUGAAUACAUUCAUAUCUAAUUAAUUUAAGACAAAAAUUUUAGGACGAAGGAAGUAUUAA
rfam:Triticum urartu cultivar G1812 contig328575, whole genome shotgun sequence.